rnacentral:ribozyme from 1 species
GAAACACAAUUUUGCUUCCUUGUUUGCUUCUUGUGUUUCACUUUGUUUGUAUUGUCGUCCCUUUUUGUUUCUUGGGCCGUGCCCUUCUGCUGCAGUGGGCACGCGUAGUUCUCUUUGUUCAACAAUCAAAUCGCACACACAAAGAAGGGAUACGAAGCAGGAACUUGGGAAUGGAAAAGAAGA